GGUUUCCCCUUUGGGGCGGGUUCACAGGUGGUGCAUGGUUGUCGUCAGCUCGUGUCGUGAGAUGUUGGGUUAAGUCCCGCAACGAGCGCAACCCUCGUUCCAUGUUGCCAGCACGUAAUGGUGGGGACUCAUGGGAGACUGCCGGGGUCAACUCGGAGGAAGGUGAGGACGACGUCAAAUCAUCAUGCCCCUUAUGUCUUGGGCUUCACGCAUGCUACAAUGGCCGGUACAAUGGGUUGCGAUACUGUGAGGUGGAGCUAAUCCCAAAAAGCCGGUCUCAGUUCGGAUUGGGGUCUGCAACUCGACCCCAUGAAGUCGGAGUCGCUAGUAAUCGCAGAUCAGCAACGCUGCGGUGAAUACGUUCCCGGGCCUUGUACACACCGCCCGUCAAGUCACGAAAGUUGGUAACACCCGAAGCCGGUGGCCUAACCCUUGUGGGGGGAGCCGUCGAAGGUGGGACCAGCGAUUGGGACUU
rnacentral:rRNA from 1 species